CCAGAUCUUUCCCGUUAUCUCUCUCUUCGCAGUCAUACAACUUCCUCCCCUUUCACCUUCACUACUAUCAUGUGAAAAUGCAGCAGAAGCUGGUGAAUCAUAACACAAAAAUAUCUUCUUAGUCAUUGCUCUUUACGCUUUUCUUCUACACCAUUGUUAAGGCUUAUUCCAAUCUUGUGUUGAUGCAUUUUGUGAACUUCAUCAAUUUUUGCUUGCUCUGGUAAAGAUUAAAGUUGAUGAUGAUGUUGAUAGGCUGUUGUUAUCAAUUUAAGGCCGUAAGCAUUUCAUCUGUAGAGUUCACGAUAUUUAUAAAUUAAAUGUUGUGGAAGAAGUCGGGAUUCUUGAUUCAUAUACGACUUACCUGUAUUUUGCAAGAUGAGAAGAUAUUUACAAGGGGGCUAUAUUUCUAGCAUUUGGUAUAAUAGAGGAGUACAUCCUGAAGAAAGUUAAAAUGAAGUAAUAUGGUCUCACAAUGUUGCUUACUGAAGAUGAAGGUGUCAAGACCUUCAUUUCCAACUUGACUGCCCAACUCGCUGAUAAGUUUUGAAACUCUGUCAAAGUGGUUGAUUGGUUCAGAUCAUAUUUAGGCUUAAAGUUUGAAAGUCCAAUACCAAAUCAAGAGGGAAAAUAUAAUUGCCUAAAAGUGUUUCUUGUUCCGUUGAUUGUGGGUUGAGAUUUUUGAGAAAAUUUUAAACUCAAUAUUCAUAAUCUAAUUUGUUCUCAAGUUUCAUUAAUCAAGGAGUUGAUAGCAGAGAUCGAUCUCGAUGUGGAUAUGCAUAGAGUCUUUGUACUAUCGAAGAAAUUCUGAGCUACGACUAUCUGUAUCAGUUUUUUCUUAAAAUCUAAUCUGUAGAUGUUAAUAAAUUUUAAAUGCAAAUAAAUCUGUCUAGAAUUGCUUCUUA